GAGUUUGAUCAUGGCUCAGAACGUACGCUGGCGGCACGCCUAACACAUGCAAGUCGAACGAAGUAGCAAUACUUAGUGGCAGACGGGUGAGUAACAUGUAGGUAUCUGCCCUUUGGCCUGGAAUAACACGAGGAAACUUGUGCUAAUACCGGAUAAGUCUUUACGGAGAAAGCUUUAUGCACCAUUGGAUGAGCCUGCACUUGAUUAGUUUGUUGGUGGGGUAAUGGCCUACCAAGACUGUGAUCAAUAGCUGAUUUGAGAGGAUGAUCAGCCACAUUGGGACUGAGACACGGCCCAAACUCCUACGGGAGGCAGCAGUGGGGAAUCUUGCACAAUGGAGGAAACUCUGAUGCAGCGAUGCCGCGUGAGUGAAGAAGGCCUUUGGGUUGUAAAGCUCUUUCGUCGGGGAAGAAAAUGACUGUACCCGAAUAAGAAGGUCCGGCUAACUUCGUGCCAGCAGCCGCGGUAAUACGAAGGGACCUAGCGUAGUUCGAAAUUACUGGGCUUAAAGAGUUCGUAGGUGGUUGAAAAAGUUGGUGGUGAAAUCCCAGAGCUUAACUCUGGAACUGCCAUCAAAACUUUUCAGCUAGAGUAUGAUAGAGGAAAGCAGAAUUUCUAGUGUAGAGGUGAAAUUCGUAGAUAUUAGAAAGAAUACCAAUUGCGAAGGCAGCUUUCUGGAUCAUUACUGACACUGAGGAACGAAAGCAUGGGUAGCGAAGAGGAUUAGAUACCCUCGUAGUCCAUGCCGUAAACGAUGUGUGUUAGACGUUGGAAAUUUUUUUUCAGUGUCGCAGCGAAAGCGAUAAACACACCGCCUGGGGAGUACGUCCGCAAGGUUAAAACUCAAAUGAAUUGACGGGGACCCGCACAAGUAGUGGAGCAUGUGGUUUAAUUCGAAGAUACGCGCAGAACCUUACCAACACUUGACAUGUUCGUCGCGACUUUAAGAGAUUAAAGUUUUCGGUUCGGCCGGACGAAACACAGGUGCUGCAUGGCUGUCGUCAGCUCGUGUCGUGAGAUGUUGGGUUAAGUCCCGCAACGAGCGCAACCCUCACUUUUAGUUGCCAUCAUUAAGUUGGGCACUCUGAAAGAACUGCCAGUGAUAAGCUGGAGGAAGGUGGGGAUGACGUCAAGUCCUCAUGGCCCUUACGUGUUGGGCUACACACGUGCUACAAUGAUAUCUACAACAGGAAGCAAGACUGCGAAGUUAAGCAAAUCCUUAAAAGAUAUCUCAGUUCGGAUUGCACUCUGCAACUCGAGUGCAUGAAGCUGGAAUUACUAGUAAUCGUGGAUCAGCGUGCCACGGUGAAUGCGU
rnacentral:rRNA from 1 species